rnacentral:tRNA from 1 species
GGGAAGAUGGCUCAGUGGUAGAGUGCUUGCCUUGCAUGCAUGAAGCCCUGGGUUUGAUUCCUCAGUACCA